UCGUAUUGAAGCAAAGCACCGGUGUUC
rnacentral:sRNA from 1 species